rnacentral:rRNA from 1 species
UACGAAGGGGGCUAGCGUUGCUCGGAAUCACUGGGCGUAAAGCGCACGUAGGCGGAUCUUUAAGUCAGGGGUGAAAUCCUGGAGCUCAACUCCAGAACUGCCUUUGAUACUGGAGAUCUCGAGUCCGGAAGAGGUGAGUGGAACUCCGAGUGUAGAGGUGAAAUUCGUAGAUAUUCGGAAGAACACCAAUUGCGAAGGCAGCGCGCUGGGACGUUACUGACGCUGAGACGCGAAAGCGUGGGGAGCAAACAGG